rnacentral:rRNA from 1 species
AAUAUUGCACAAUGGAGGGAACUCUGAUGCAGCAACGCCGCGUGAGUGAAGAAGGUUUUCGGAUCGUAAAACUCUGUCAUUGGGGAAGAAUAAAUGACGGUACCCAAUGAGGAAGCCCCGGCUAACUACGUGCCAGCAGCCGCGGUAAUACGUAGGGGGCGAGCGUUGUCCGGAAUUACUGGGCGUAAAGGGUACGUAGGCGGCUAUAUAAGUCAGGUGUGAAAUACCAGUGCUUAACACUGGAAUUGCAUUUGAAACUGUGUAGCUUGAGUGCAGGAGAGGAAAGUGGAAUUCCUAGUGUAGCGGUGAAAUGCGUAGAUAUCAGGAGGAACACCGGUGGCGAAGGCGGCUUUCUGGACUGACCCUGACGCUGAGACGCGAAAGCGUGGGGAGCGAACA